rnacentral:rRNA from 1 species
AUAUCGUAUCAGCUAGUUGGUAGGGUAACGGCCUACCAAGGCUAUGACGCGUAACUGGUCUGAGAGGAUGAUCAGUCACACUGGAACUGAGACACGGUCCAGACUCCUACGGGAGGCAGCAGUAGGGAAUAUUGCUCAAUGGGGGAAACCCUGAAGCAGCAACGCCGCGUGGAGGAUGACACUUUUCGGAGCGUAAACUCCUUUUCUUGGGAAAGAAUUAUGACGGUACCCAAGGAAUAAGCACCGGCUAACUCCGUGCCAGCAGCCGCGGUAAUACGGAGGGUGCAAGCGUUACUCGGAAUCACUGGGCGUAAAGGACGCGUAGGCGGAUUAUCAAGUCUCUUGUGAAAUCUAACGGCUUAACCGUUAAACUGCUUGGGAAACUGAUAAUCUAGAGUAAGGGAGAGGCAGAUGGAAUUCUUGGUGUAGGGGUAAAAUCCGUAGAGAUCAAGAAGAAUACCCAUUGCGAAAGCGAUCUGCUGGAACUUAACUGACGCUAAUGCGUGAAAGCGUGGGGAGCAAACAGGAUUAGAUACCCUGGUAGUCCACGCCGUAAAUUAUGCUUGCUAGAUGUUUUUAUCAGUUUACUGGUAGGAGUGUCGUAAUCUAACGAGUUAAGCAAGCCGCCUGGGUAGUAUAUUCGCAAGAAUGAAACUCAAAGGGAUAGGCGGGGGAACACACAAGCAGUGGAUUAUCUAGAUUAAUUGGAUAAUAAGCCAAGAAUCUUACCUAGGAUUGACAUGUAUUGUGUCUCAGGUGAAAGCCUGAUAUCCGUAGCAAUACGGAGCUUUACACAGGUGGUGCAUGGUCGUCGUCAGCUCGUGCCGCAAGGUGUCUAGUUAAGUCUGGAAACGAGCGCAACCCUCGUGUUUAGUUAGUAUGUCUAAACAGACUGCUCGGGUAACCGAGAGGAAGGAGAGGAUGACGUCAGAUCCUCAUGCCCCUUACACCUAGGGCCUCAUAGAUAAUACAAUGGGUAGGUACAGCGAGAAGCGAAACCGCGAGGUGGAGCAAAUCUUUAAAACUACCCUUAGUUCGGAUUGUACUCUGGAACUCGAGUACAUGAAGUUGGAAUU